GGGAUUUUGGGUCGCAUUUCAGCUGCGUCCCGGCCGGCGUGUCUCCCACGUGGAUCCAACACACCGUUUCCUGUUUGUACAGGAAGUCCAUGGCUGUGGUCUGUUUUGUGCUGGUGUAGAGCGAUGAGCUGCUAGCGCCGCUCAGAGACGUGGCCUGGAUGUUCUGAGAGUUAGCGAUUAGCAACACGGGCAGGCGAUCCACAGGCACUGAGAGACACAGGAGAAACGUGAAGGGACUGAAGACGGAUUAAAUGGUUCCUGCAGAUGCAGAGGAACUGUUUAUUACCGUUCUUAGCUUUGCAGGAUCGGUUAUCAGGCUGAGGGAGAUAACCUUCCACACAGGAGCAGAAAUACGAGCCCUCGGUGUUCGUACACGUCUGACUGCACGUCCCGUAUACCGUACACUCGUCAAAAUCUGAACACACACACACACACGCACACACACACACACACACGCACAUAUGCGCGCGUGCACGCACACAGGACAGGGUGAUGAGUGAGGACCAGAAUUUUUAGGAGGACUGGUUGGGUCCUCAUGAAGGAGAAAAUAUGUUCACACACACACACACACACACACACACACACACACACACACACACACACACACACACACACACACUCUUUGCCUUGAUGUAAGUGUUCCAAAAGGAUCUUUGAACUUGACUAAUUGACACUCUGUGUGUGUGUGUGUGUGUGUGUGUGUGUGUGUGUGUGUGUGUGUGUGUGUGUGUGUGUGUGUGUGUGUGUGUGUGUGUGUGUACAGACCUUUACAUAGUUUCCCGUCCUGGCUGAUCUCAUAGCCGUUCUUGCAGUAACACACAGGACCGGAGUGUGUGACGGCGCAGUUUUCCUGACAGCCAGCGAGCGUACAGUUCGAGAUCAAUUCUGAGAAAAAAUUACAGAUUGAAAAGAUGAAGUCCUUAACUACAAUGCUGGGGAGGAGACGGCAUCAGGAUGCACUAUGGGAAGAAGGCGAGUUGGUGGAUGCAGUGUAAUGCUCUGUGCAAUGUUCUGCUGGGAAACCUUGGGUCCUGCUUUCAUGUGGAUGUUACUUUGACACAUACCACCUACCUAAACAUUGUUCCAGACUGAGUACACCCCUUCAUGGUAACGGUGUUCCCUAAUAUCAGUGACCUCUUUCAGCAGGAUAAUGCCCCCUGACACACUGCAAACACUGUUCAGGAACGGUUUGAGGAACAUGAGAAAGAAUUCCCCAGAUCUCAGUCUGAUCAAGCGUCUGUGGGACGUUCUGGACAAACAAGUCAGAUCCACGGAGGUCCACCUCACAACUUACAGAACUUAAAGGAUCUGGUGCUAACGUCUAGGUGCCAGAUACCACAGCACACCUUCAGAGGUCUUGUGGAGUCCAUGCCUCUACACCUCAGAGCUGUUCUGGUGGCACAAGGAGAGGAGGACCUACACAAUAUUAGGCAGGUGGAUUUAAUGUUAUGGCUGAUCGGUGUAUAAUAUGGGUGUUGAAAGAAUAAAGCUGUGGAAUUAUAACGGCUGUUCAAUCUAAAGAAAGGGAACGGUGCUAAAAAAGGAAAAUGAGCAGAGCGAGGUUAAUCUCACUGUAAUGCAGGAUCACAUGCAGAGUUAUAAAAAAAACAAAACAAAACAAAACACCAAGCUUUGUCUCGGCUCACGGAAACCUGUUUAUGAAGGUCUCGGCACUGAAAAUCUCCGGAAUAAGAAGAGUCACAUGACUAACGGAACAUGACCCGUGUGCCACUCAGGUCAACAAGCAAGAAAAAACAAAAGGAAGCAGAAUCUCUAAAUCAAUUUUAA
ensembl:lncRNA